UUGCAAGCCAACCUAUAUGAUAUUAAUCUCAAGAGUGUAUGGGCCCACAUUAUAGUUUAUGGAGCUGCCCAUGACGACAGUAAAGAUGAUUUUCUUGUAGAACUAGCCUCUAUGUGUGCUCACACACAUGUCCCAUAUAUAGUGGGUGGUGAUUUUAAUAUCCUCAGAGGGAGUUGUGACAAGAACAAAUUGAACCGAUCCCCUUAUAUGGAUAAAUUUAAUUCCAUAAUAGGUUCUUUAAAUCUCCGGGAGAUUUACAUGGGGGGAGGCAAAUAUACAUGGACUAACAUCCAAAAACACCCUACCCUUGAGAAACUGGAUAGAGUGUUGAUGAGUUUCGACUGGGAGGACUUGUUUCCUCUGGUUACUGUUCGUAAACUGGUUAGGGAUGUUUCUGAUCACAAUCCUAUCCUCUUAUCCUCUGGAGCGAGCAAAAAAAGGAUGCCUCACCAACAUGAGUUCAGAUUUGAGCUUAGUUGGCUGCGAGACGAAAACUUCUACCCCAUAGCCAAGAAGAUAUGGGAACAACCUGUCCGGGCUGCUGAUCCUAUUGAUAUUCUUAAUGUCAAACUGAAACAGCUCAAAAAAUACGUUAAAGGGUGGGGGUCGAAUGUUUUUGGUCAUGCUAAGAAAAGAAAGAAGGAAAUCAAAAUGGAGUUGGAAGAGAUUGAAAGUAAAGAAGAGUAAGGACCGCUCGAACCUGGUCUUUAUGAGAGGAAAACAACCUUAUAGGCUGAGGUCAAUGAUAUCCUUUUUAAUGAAGAGUUGUCUUGGUUACAACAAUCAAACGAGCGAUGGCUUUUAAAGGGUGAUCUUAAUACAACCUUUUAUCAUAGGGUGGCGAAUGGCAAGAAGAGAAAAAACACAAUCCAAUCCCUCACGGACGGGGAAGUUGCGAUUGAGGGGACCACCAACCUCUUAGCUCAUGCUACUAACUACUAUAAGGAACUUUUCGGUCCUGCUAGAGGAAACCUCUUUCACCUUUCCCCUAAUAUGUGGACCGAUAGUGAGAAAUUGACGGAGGAUGAUAAUACUUUGCUCACUAGUAAAUUCACCGAGGAAGAAGUGAAAAAAGCUCUCUUCGGUAUGAAGAGCAACCAGGCCCUGGCCCGGAUAACAUACCAGCGGAGUUUUAUAAACAUUGCUGGGACUUUGUGA
rnacentral:rRNA from 1 species